UAAAUUAUAUAUAUGUGAUUAUAUCGAUAUUGAUGAGACCUAAGCAUACAAGAACCUCAAUAAAAUAUUAAGUCACAUUUUACAUUCGUCCUCCAUCAUUAUAGUGAAAACCCAGAGUCCUAAAUCGAUCUUAGCUUGUUGAGAACACUCAAGGCUGAUCUAUUAUGGAUAUGUCUGACACUAUGAAAUAUCAGAUGUUUCUGAAUGAUGGGUCCGACUUAACUAAAGUUUAUCUUUUGUUGAGUACACUCAAGGAGAUAGAUUUUAGAGACAUGAUAAAAUAUGUGAGGACAAGGAGUUGUCAACUUAAUGAUCUAGGAGUUGUAUGCAAAUCCCC
rnacentral:lncRNA from 1 species